rnacentral:misc_RNA from 1 species
GGCAAACCUUCAGCCCUUAACGCCAGGGUGGGUUCAUUAAGGCAGCUCAAGACAUGGGUCUCAAGGAAGUUGUGAUGGAAGGUCGAUGUCAUUCCACCUUUACGUUGAUCAAUGUUGAUAGCGGUGCUGUAGAGGGAGCAAAACCAACCAUUUGAUGUUUUCAGAGUUGCCUUGUUUUUGUUUCUUCAGUUACUUGAACAAGGAUACUUCGAAUAGCUACAGACUCUCAGCAGGUAGAUAAUCAAGAAUGCCCAAGACUCAUUGGGGAAAAUGUUAUCAAAACACAACGUUUUGAAUAU